rnacentral:rRNA from 1 species
GACGAACGCUGGCGGCGUGCUUAACACAUGCAAGUCGAACGGAAAGGCCCUGCUUUUGUGGGGUGCUCGAGUGGCGAACGGGUGAGUAACACGUGAGUAACCUGCCCUUGACUUUGGGAUAACUUCAGGAAACUGGGGCUAAUACCGGAUAGGAUCUCCUGCUGCAUGGUGGGGGUUGGAAAGUUUCGGCGGUUGGGGAUGGACUCGCGGCUUAUCAGCUUGUUGGUGGGGUAGUGGCUUACCAAGGCUUUGACGGGUAGCCGGCCUGAGAGGGUGACCGGCGACAAUGGGACUGAGAUACGGCGCAGACGCCUACGGGAGGCAGCAGUGGGGAAUAUGGCACAAUGGGCGGAAGCCUGAGGCGGCAACGCCGCGUGCGGGAUGACGGCCUUCGGGUUGUAAACCGCUUUCGCAUGUGACGAAGCGUGAGUGACGGUAAUGGGUAAAGAAGCACCGGCUAACUACGUG